UACCUACGGGGGGCAGCAGUAGGGAAUCUUCCACAAUGGACGAAAGUCUGAUGGAGCAACGCCGCGUGAGCGAUGAAGUAUUUUGGUAUGUAAAGCUCUAUCAGCAGGGAAGAAAAUGACGGUACCUGACUAAGAAGCCCCGGCUAACUACGUGCCAGCAGCCGCGGUAAUACGUAGGGGGCAAGCGUUAUCCGGAUUUACUGGGUGUAAAGGGAGCGUAGACGGCAGUGCAAGUCUGAAGUGAAAGGCAAGGGCUCAACCUUUGGACUGCUUUGGAAACUGUGCUGCUAGAGUGUCGGAGAGGG
rnacentral:rRNA from 1 species